ensembl:snRNA U6 U6 spliceosomal RNA
GUGCUUGCUUUGCCAAGUGCAUACACUAAACUGGAAAUAGUACAGAGAAGAUUAGCAUGGUCCAUGUGCAAGGAUGACACGUAAAAUCGUGACACGUUUACAAAUUUA